rnacentral:rRNA from 1 species
CAGUCGAGCGAAGCGGUUUAAGUGAAGUUUUCGGAUGGAACUUGGAUUGACUCGAUUCGGCGGACGGGUGAGUAACGCGUGGAUAACCUGCCUCACACAGGGGGAUAACAGUUAGAAAUGACUGCUAAUACCGCAUAAGCGCACGGCAUCGCAUGAUGCAGUGUGAAAAACUCCGGUGGUGUGAGAUGGAUCCGCGUCUGAUUAGGUAGUUGGUGGGGUAACGGCCCACCAAGCCGACGAUCAGUAGCCGACCUGAGAGGGUGACCGGCCACAUUGGGACUGAGACACGGCCCAAACUCCUACGGGAGGCAGCAGUGGGGAAUAUUGCACAAUGGGCGAAAGCCUGAUGCAGCGACGCCGCGUGAGUGAAGAAGUAUCUCGGUAUGUAAAGCUCUAUCAGCAGGGAAGAAAAUGACGGUACCUGACUAAGAAGCCCCGGCUAACUACGUGCCAGCAGCCGCGGUAAUACGUAGGGGGCAAGCGUUAUCCGGAUUUACUGGGUGUAAAGGGAGCGCAGACGGCGAUGCAAGUCUGG